UGCUCUCUGACCUCUAAGCCGAUGGAAUUGAGAAAGCAAGUUUAUUUACGCUCCCUCAUUUUUGGGCAGAGCUUUAACGAAUUGUGUCUCUCUUCAACCACGCGUUUAUUGAGCACUGCACCGCACUAAAAGCUUUGUUAUUCUAAUAAACAAAAAUGUGGAAAACUUUGGUUGUACGCACAGCGACAAUAACAACAAUAUUAUCAAACAUGAUGAAAUAAAAGUUUAAUAAACUAUUGCACAAAUCUUAGUAAAACUGGAAAUCGAACAAUCACUUGAAAGAAGAAGACACGCGUGUCGCCGGCAAAACACCGCGUCCGUCACCUAUGAGAACUUUUCGAAAACUGAAUGUGAAAUAAACAAGCUGUAUGAACUAGUACCACCAACAGUACCAAGUUGAAAAUGUUUAUUUGUACAACAAGUACCAUGACUCCCAAUUAAUUGACAGUUUAAGUAAAAGAAAAAAAUUUCUAUGA